GGGGUCAUAGUUUAACCAGGUAGAACAGUGGGCUCCAGACCCACUGAUUAGGGUUCAAAUCCCUAUGACCCCA
rnacentral:tRNA from 1 species